rnacentral:rRNA from 1 species
AGUUCGAUUAUGGCUCAGAUUGAACGCUGGCGGGAUGCUUUUUACACAUGCAAGUCGAACGGCAGCACGGACUUCGGUCUGGUGGCGAGUGGCGAACGGGUGAGUAAUGUAUCGGAACGUGCCUAGUAGCGGGGGAUAACUACGCGAAAGCGUAGCUAAUACCGCGUACGCCCUUCGGGGAAAGCAGGGGACCUUCGGGCCUCGCACUAUUAGAGCGGCCGAUAUCCGGAUUAGCUAGUUGGUGGGGUAACGGCUCGCAAGGCGACGAUCCGUAGCUGGUUUGAGAGGACGACCAGCCACACUGGGACUGAGACACGGCCCAGACUCCUACGGGAGGCAGCAGUGGGGAAUUUUGGACAAUGGGGAAACCCUGAUCAGCCAUCCCGCGUGUGCGAUGAAGGCCUUCAGGUUGUAAAGCACUUUUGGCAGGAAAAACGGCACGGGAUAAUACCCCGUGCAACUGACAGUACCUGCAGAAUAAGCACCGGCUAACUACGUGCCAGCAGCCGCGGUAAUACGUAGGGUGCAAGCGUUAAUCGGAAUUACUGGGCGUAAAGCGUGCGCAGGCGGUUCGGAAGAAAAGAUGCUUGAAAUCCAGAGCCCAACUGGAACUGCAUUUUUAACUACCGGGCUAGAGUGUGUCAAAGGAGGUGGAAUUCCGCGUGUAGCAGUGAAAUGCGUAGAUAUGCGGAGGGAACACCGAUGGCGAAGGCAGCCUCCUGGGAUAACACUGACGCUCAUGCACGAAAAGCGUGGGAGCAAACAGAGUUAGAUACCCUGGUAGUCCACGCCCUAAACGAUGUCAACUAGCUGUUGGGGCCUUCGGGCCUUGGUAGCGCAGCUAACGCGUGAAGUUGACCGCCUGGGGAAGUACGGUCGCAAGAUUAAGCUCAAAGGAAUUGACGGGGACCCGCACAAGCGGUGGAUGAUGUGGAUUAAUUCGAUGCAACGCGAAAAAGCCUUACCUACCCCUUGACAUGUCUGGAAUGCCGAAGAGAUUUGGCAGUGCUCGCAAGAGAACCGGAACACAGGUGCUGCAUGGCUGUCGUCAACUCGUGUCGUGAGAUGUUGGGUUAAGUCCCGCAACGAGCGCAACCGCCGUCAUUAGUUGCUACGAAAGGGCACUCUAAUGAGACUGCCGGUGACAAACCGGAGGAAGGUGGGGAUGACGUCAAGUCCUCAUGGCCCUUAUGGGUAGGGCUUCACACGUCAUACAAUGGUCGGGACAGAGGGUCGCCAACCCGCGAGGAGCCAAUCCCAGAAACCCGAUCGUAGUCCGGAUCGCAGUCUGCAACUCUGACUGCGUGAAGUCGGAAUCGCUAGUAAUCGCGGAUCAGCAUGUCGCGGUGAAUACGUUCCCGGGUCUUGUACACCGCCCGUCACACCAUGGGAGUGGGUUUUACCAAGUAGUUAGCCUAACCGCAAGGGGGUGAUUACCACGGUAGGAUUCGCGACUGGGGUGAAGUCGUAACAAGAGUAA